rnacentral:lncRNA from 1 species
UUUAUUCUACUAAGGAUGGAUAAAAUUUGAGAAAAAAUUAAUCUCCAAUAUUGAAGUCUAAGCCUUCCAAAAUUUAUUAAAGUAUAGAUCAUCUAUAGUGCAUGGACCGCAUCAUAGAAUACUAUACAAUCUCAUUGGCCAUCAUAAGAAAAUGGACAGCCAUCAAACAGGACAAUCCAUGAGUACAUACUGUAUUAUACUUGACACGUAUUGCUUGAUGGCCAUCCAACUUCUCAUAGAAGCCAUCAAGGGCCAUGCAGUACUCUGUGGUGUGGCUUGUG